GGGUGUAUAGCUCAGUUGGUAGAGCAGCUGACUCUUAAUCAGCGGGUCCACGGUUCGAGUCCGUGUACACCCACCA
rnacentral:tRNA from 2 species